rnacentral:rRNA from 1 species
UACGUAGGGUGCGAGCGUUGUCCGGAUUUAUUGGGCGUAAAGAGCUCGUAGGCGGUGUGUCGCGUCGGCCGUGAAAACCUGGGGCUCAACUCUGGGCGUGCGGUCGAUACGGGCAUCACUUGAGUUCGGCAGGGGAGACUGGAAUUCCUGGUGUAGCGGUGAAAUGCGCAGAUAUCAGGAGGAACACCGGUGGCGAAGGCGGGUCUCUGGGCCGAUACUGACGCUGAGGAGCGAAAGCGUGGGGAGCGAACAGG